rfam:Hadesarchaea archaeon YNP_45 contig_124_6466, whole genome shotgun sequence.
GGGCCUGUAGCUCAGAGGUAGAGCGUCGGCUUUGCAAGCCGAAGGUCGCGGGUUCGAUUCCCGCCGGGUCCA